rnacentral:rRNA from 1 species
AUUGAACGCUGGCGGCAUGCUUUACACAUGCAAGUCGAACGGCAGCACGGACUUCGGUCUGGUGGCGAGUGGCGAACGGGUGAGUAAUACAUCGGAACGUGCCCAGUUGUGGGGGAUAACUACUCGAAAGAGUAGCUAAUACCGCAUGAGAACUGAGGUUGAAAGCAGGGGAUCGCAAGACCUUGUGCUACUAGAGCGGCCGGUGGCAGAUUAGGUAGUUGGUGGGAUAAAAGCUUACCAAGCCGACGAUCUGUAGCUGGUCUGAGAGGACGAUCAGCCACACUGGGACUGAGACACGGCCCAGACUCCUACGGGAGGCAGCAGUGGGGAAUUUUGGACAAUGGGCGCAAGCCUGAUCCAGCAAUGCCGCGUGCAGGAUGAAGGCCUUCGGGUUGUAAACUGCUUUUGUACGGAACGAAAAGCCCUGGGUUAAUACCCUGGGGUCAUGACGGUACCGUAAGAAUAAGCACCGGCUAACUACGUGCCAGCAGCCGCCGUAAGAC